rnacentral:rRNA from 1 species
AUACUCAAGCUAUGCAUCCAACGCGUUGGGAGCUCUCCCAUAUGGUCGACCUGCAGGCGGCCGCGAAUUCACUAGUGAUUCUUSCGUCAAUUCCUUUAAGUUUCAGCCUUGCGACCAUACUCCCCCCAGAACCCAAAAACUUUGAUUUCUCGUAAGGUGCCGAACGGGUCAUAAUAGAAACACCGUCCGAUCCCUAGUCGGCAUAGUUUAUGGUUAAGACUACGACGGUAUCUGAUCGUCUUCGAUCCCCUAACUUUCGUUCCCUGAUUAAUGAAAACAUCCUUGGCGAAUGCUUUCGCAGUAUUAGU